rnacentral:rRNA from 1 species
AGUGAACGCUGGCGGCAGGCCUAACACAUGCAAGUCGAACGGCAGCACAAGGGAGCUUGCUCUCUGGGUGGCGAGUGGCGGACGGGUGAGGAAUACAUCGGAAUCUGCCUAUUUGUGGGGGAUAACGUAGGGAAACUUACGCUAAUACCGCAUACGACCUACGGGUGAAAGCGGAGGACCUUCGGGCUUCGCGCAGAUAGAUGAGCCGAUGUCGGAUUAGCUAGUUGGCGGGGUAAAGGCCCACCAAGGCGACGAUCCGUAGCUGGUCUGAGGGGAUGAUCAGCCACACUGGAACUGAGACACGGUCCAGACUCCUACGGGAGGCAGCAGUGGGGAAUAUUGGACAAUGGGCGCAAGCCUGAUCCAGCCAUGCCGCGUGGGUGAAGAAGGCCUUCGGGUUGUAAAGCCCUUUUGUUGGGAAAGAAAAGCAGUCGGUUAAUACCCGAUUGUUCUGACGGUACCCAAAGAAUAAGCACCGGCUAACUUCGUGCCAGCAGCCGCCGUAAGAC